UGACAGUAUGUCAGAAGAAGGAUCAUAUGCUUUCAGAUCAUGGUUGACUGUGGGUAACUGAAACUGUGAAGAGUGAGACUGCAGAUGGCUGGCUCACAUUCUGAUGAGAAAAGAUUGUAAACAAGUACAUUAAAAUAUCUGGAAUUAAAAAUGUACUGGAGGGACUUAACAGCAGAACAGUCAGGAAAGAGAAUCAGCAAACUUGAAUAGAGGCCCGCUGAAAUUAUCCAGUCUGAGGAACAGAAAGUAGAAAGAUUUUUAAAAAUGAACACAGCCUCAGAUAACUGAUGGACACCAUCAAGCAUAUCAUCAUAUUCAUAAUGGAAGCCCCAGAAGAAGAGAGACAUAAAUGGGCAGAAGAAUACUUGAAGAAAUUAUAGCUGAAAAUAUUCCAAACUUGAAAAACAAUGAUUUACAAAUACAAGAAUUUCAAUAAACUCAAAGUAGGAUAAACUCAGAGAUCCACACCUAGA